GACGAACGCUGGCGGCGUGCUUAACACAUGCAAGUCGAACGCCCCGCAAGGGGAGUGGCAGACGGGUGAGUAACACGUGGGAACGUACCCUUUGGUUCGGAAUAACUUGGGGAAACUCAAGCUAAUACCGGAUAAGCCCUUAUGGGGAAAGGUUUACUGCCGAAGGAUCGGCCCGCGUCUGAUUAGCUAGUUGGUGAGGUAAUGGCUCACCAAGGCGACGAUCAGUAGCUGGUCUGAGAGGAUGAUCAGCCACACUGGGACUGAGACACGGCCCAGACUCCUACGGGAGGCAGCAGUGGGGAAUAUUGGACAAUGGGGGCAACCCUGAUCCAGCCAUGCCGCGUGAGUGAUGAAGGCCUUAGGGUUGUAAAGCUCUUUUACCCGGGACGAUAAUGACUGUACCGGGAGAAUAAGCCCCGGCUAACUUCGUGCCAGCCGCCGCCGUAA
rnacentral:rRNA from 1 species